AAAAUCGCAGGAAAACUCCUAAGGAGUCAAAUACCCCACAAUGUCCCUCCACCUCUAGCGACAGGUCUUGUCCUAAAAUAUCCCAUCUGCUUACAGUGUGGCCGGUGUUCAGGAUUUAAUUGCUGUCAUAAGUUACAGUCUGCCUACGGGCCGUACCUCCUUAUCUAUCCACAGCUCCACCUUUUAAGCACCCCUGAAGGCCAUGGUGAGAUUCGGUUGCAUCUUGGAUUUAGAUUACGAACUGGGAAAAGACCUCAAGUCUCAAAGUACCACGGAAGAAAUCGAGCGGAUGCUCGGAAGAGUGCCGCAUCACCAUCACGGAGGAAAGCUAGAUUCUCUACAACGCCUUCCAAGAGUCCUACUCCUAGGGGAACGUUCCAGUCCGGAUCUUCCCCGUCUCCUGCUUCUGUACAAUUCCACACUCAACAAAAGCAAUGGUAUAGUCCUGGUGUGGUAGGAAAGGCAACAGCCAAAGACUAUGAAUUCUGUCAGGUUCACUCCGUAUCAGAGAGUGAGUAUGAAAGCAAUCAGGAUGAAAAAUGGGUUAAGUCAAGCCUUAGAAAGGCCUCUGUCUUAACAUAUCCAGUGAAGAAAAUCACCAAGGGACCUAAAAUGCAAAACACAAGGCUCUACAAAAUCAGUACAAAAGAGGCCCAUUCUAGAACCCUGAAGGGUGUUACAAGAAACAGAAUUGGAACCACUCAAACAAACUCUGUUUCUACCAAGAGACAACCUAAGAAAUCCUCCCAGCCCAAAUUCAUCCAACUGCUCUUUCACGGCCUGAGGCAGGCAUUCCAAGCGGCACACAGAAUUGUGACUUUUACUGGACAGAAACUUGAGUAUAAGAUGAGGCCAGACAAUUUGUGGUCAGUCAAAAACUUGCACCCCAAACAAAGAGCCAAGGAU
rnacentral:lncRNA from 1 species